UUGCCCUAGUAACGGCGAGUGAAGCGGCAACAGCUCAAAUUUGAAAUCUGGCCCUUGGGUCCGAAUUGUAAUUUGUAGAGGAUGUUUUUGGUGCGGUAUCUUCCGAGUUCCUUGGAACAGGACGCCUUAGAGGGUGAGAGCCCCGUACGGUUGAAUGCCUAGCCUUUGUAAAACUCCUUCGACGAGUCGAGUAGUUUGGGAAUGCUGCUCUAAAUGGGAGGUAAAUUUCUUCUAAAGCUAAAUACCGGCCAGAGACCGAUAGCGCACAAGUAGAGUGAUCGAAAGAUGAAAAGCACUUUGAAAAGAGGGUUAAAUAGCACGUGAAAUUGUUGAAAGGGAAGGAUUUAUGACCAGACUUUUUCUAGGCGAAUCAUCCGGUGUUCUCACCGGUGCACUUCGUUUAGUUUAGGCCAGCAUCGAUUUUCGAGGCGGGAUAAAAGCUUCAGGAAUGUGGCUCUUUCGGGAGUGUUAUAGCCUGUUGUAUAAUACCGCCUUGGGGAUCGAGGUACGCGCUUCUGCAAGGAUGCUGGCGUAAUGGUUAUCAAUCACCCGUCUUGAAACACGGACCAAGGAGUCGAACAUUUGUGCGAGUGUUUGGGUGUUAAACCCUCACGCGUAAUGAAAGUGAACGGAGGUGAGAGCCCUUUACGGGGUGCAUCAUCGACCGAUCCUGAUGUCUUCGGAUGGAUUUGAGUAAGAGCAUAAAUGUUCGGACCCGAAAGAUGGUGAACUAUGCGUGGAUAGGGUGAAGCCAGAGGAAACUCUGGUGGAGGCUCGCAGCGGUUCUGACGUGCAAAUCGAUCGUCAAAUCUGCGCAUGGGGGCGAAAGACU
rnacentral:rRNA from 2 species